ACAGGUGCUCCAGAAAUGGAGGUGACGCACGUGUCACAGCUGACUUGGGCGCGGCAUGGUGAAUCUGGCAGCACGGCCGUCUUCCACCAAACGCAGGGCCCCAGCUAUUCGGAGUCCAAAACGGCUGGAAUUCGUGGCCGCCAGACUGGGCGCGGGAAGCUGCGGGAUGCCUCGCUGAGGAUGUUCGGGUUUGCGCGUCGAGGAUGAAGGCAACUACACCUGCCUGUUCGUCACGUUCCCGGCAGGCAGCAGGAGCGUGGAUAUCUGGCUCCGAGUGCUUGCCAAGCCCCAGAACACAGCUGAGGUUCAGAAGGUGCAGCUCACCGGGAGAGCCGGUGCCCGUGGGCCCGCUGUGUCUCCACAGGGGGUCGCCCGCCGGCCCAAAAUCACACUGGCGCUCAGACCUGGCGGGAUGCCCAAUACAAGCCAGGUGCCAGGGUUCCUGUCUGGCACAGUCACUGUCACCAGCCUCUGGAUUUUGGGUGCCCUCAAGCCAGGUGGACGGCAAAGAGUGUGACCUGCAAGGUGGAGCACGAGAGCUUUGAGAAGCCUCAGCUGCUGACUGUGAACCUCACCGGUACCCCCCCAGAGGUAUCCAUCUCUGGCUAUGAUAACAACUGGUACCUCGGCCAGAAUGAGGCCACCCUGACCUGCGACGCUCGCAGCAACCCAGAGCCCACAGGCUAUAACUGGAGCACGACCAUGGGUCCCCUGCCACCCUUUGCUGUGGCCCAGGGCGCCCAGCUGCUGAUCCGUCCUGUGGACAAACCAAUCAACACAACCUUAAUCUGCAACGUCACCAAUGCCCUAGGAGCUCGCCAGGCAGAACUGACCGUCCAGGUCAAAGAGGGACCUCCCAGUGAGCACUCAGGCAUGUCCAGUAAGGACAUCACCGUCCUGAUUCUGGGAAUCGCGAUUUCUCUGAUCCUGCUGCUGGGGAUCGGGUUUUGUUGCUAUCGGUCCAGACGUUCCCGUGAGUUCCUUUGGCACCGUCAUCUGUCUCCCUCGAGUAAUGAGCAUGCCAGCGCCUCGGCUAAUGGGCACGUCUCCUAUUCAGCUGUGAGCAGAGAGGAUCCACAGACAGAGGGCACAAGGUGACAGCAUCAGGACUGAGCGGGGAGAGGGACUGGAGCUGGCAAGGACAUGGGCCUCCAGAGUUGGACCCCACCCCAGUGGAUGAAGACCGCCUCCAAAGAGACCACCCUCCCUCCCUGUGCCAGACCUCAAAACAAGGGGGGCAGGUGCAAGUUCAGAGGUCUCCAAGACCACCCUCUGUUCAUUUGCUAGAAGGACUCACUAGACUCAGGAAAGCUGUUAGGCUCACAGUUACAGUUUAUUACAGUAAAAGGACAGAGAUUAAGAUCAGCAAAGGGACCGAGGUGCACAGCACACGUUCCAGGACAGAUGAGGCGCCAGCUUCCAGCUGCCCUCUCCCAGUGGAGCCAUAUAGGCAGCACCUGAUUCUCACAGCAACAUGUGACAACAUGCAAGAAGUACUGCCAAAGAGAGCAGCUCACUCGAGAUCUUCGUGUCCAGAGUUUUUUGUUUGUCUUGAGACAGGAUCUGGCUCUGUUGGCAGACUGGAGUAUGGUGGUGGGAUCACAGUUCAUUGCAGCCUUGACUUCUCAACUCCAAGUCAUCCUCCCACCUCAGCCUCCUGAGUAGCUACGACUACAGGUAUGUGCCACCACGUCUGGCUAAUCUUUUUAUUAUUUGUAGAGUCGAGGUCUCCCUGUGUUGCCCAGGCUGGUCUUGAACUCUUGGCUUCAAGUGAUACUUCUGCCUUGGCCUCCCAAAGUGCUGAAUUAAGCAGCUCACCAUCCACACGGCUGACCUCAUACAUCAAGCCAAUACCGUGUGGCCCAAGACCCCCACCAUAAAUCACAUCACUAGCAUGAACCACCCAGAGUGGCCCAAGACUCUCAGAUCAGCUACCAGGCAGGAUAUUCCAAGGGCUUACAGAUGAAUGCCCAGGAGCCGAGGAUAAAGGGCCCGAUCUUUCUUUGGGCAAGGUUAAGCCUUUACUGCAUAGCAGACCACACAGAAGGGUGUGGAUCACCAGAGAAUUUCGGUAAAAAUUUGGCCUCUGGCCUUGAGCUUCUAAAUCUCUGUAUCUGUCAGAUCUCUGUGGUUACAAGAAACAGCCACUGACCCUGGUCACCAGAGGCUGCAAUUCAGGCCUCAAGCAGCUGCCUGGGGGGUGUCCAAGGAGCCGAGAAAACUACUAGAUGUGAACUUGAAGAAGGUUGUCAGCUGCAGCCACUUUCUGCCAGCAUCUGCAGCCAGCAAGCUGGGACUGGCAGGAAAUAACCCACAAAAGAAGCAAAUGCUUUUUCCAACACAAGGGGGAAGGGAUGCAGCGGGAGGCAGCGCCGCAGUUGCUCAGGACACGCUCCUAUAGGACCAAGAUGGAUGUGACCCAAGACCCAGGAGGCCCAGCUGCUCGGUGCAACUGACAAGUUAAAAAGGUCUAUGAUCUUGAGGGCAGACACCAGAAUUCCUCUUAUAAAGAAAAGCGUUUGGGAAGAUACCUUGAGGGAGAGAAGACUUUGGGCCAAGAUGCUAAAUGGGAAUGCAAUGUUUGAGCUGCUCUGCAAGAGAAAAUAAGCAGGACGGAGGAUUUGCUCUGGACAGAGAUGGAAGAACAGGGAACAGAGAAGUGUGGGGAAGAGAUAGGAACCAGCAGGAUGGCAGGGGCAAAGGGCUCAAGGGUGAGGAGGCCGGUGGGACCCCACAGAGUUGGGGAGACAAAGAAACAUUGGUUGCUUUGGUGGCACAUAAGCUCCUUGUCUGUCUCCUGCGCCCAGAAUCUCAUUAAAGUUUAUUUAUUGUACCUCCA